rnacentral:rRNA from 1 species
UACAGAGGGUGCAAGCGUUAAUCGGAAUUACUGGGCGUAAAGCGCACGUAGGCGGUUUUUUAAGUCAGAUGUGAAAGCCCCGGGCUCAACCUGGGAAUUGCGUUGGAGACUGCAAGGCUUGAAUCUGGCAGAGGGGGAUGGAAUUCCGCGUGUAGCAGUGAAAUGCGUAGAUAUGCGGAGGAACACCGAUGGCGAAGGCAAUCCCCUGGACCUGUACUGACGCUCAUGCACGAAAGCGUGGGGAGCAAACAGG